GCGUUUACAAACCUUUAGCUAGACACAAAAGUUCUCCAAGUCCCCUACCUGAUUAGCUAGACACAGAGCGCUGACUGGUGCGUUUACAAACCUUUAGCUAGACACAGUGCUGAUUGGUGCGUUUACAAUCUUUUAGCUAGACAGAAAAGUUCUCCAAGUCCCCAUCCGUCCCAGAAGCCCAGCCGGCUUCAUCUCUCACUGGCAUUGGCAGGGCAGCGGGACUUUGCGACACCUAGCCCGGGCACUCCAGCAGCCCAGAGGGAGCUCCUCCCAGACAAUCAAGAGGGAAAGAGGGGAAGCAGAAAGAGACGGAGACCUGCUAUCUUGGCCAACGAUCCCGUGAAGAGGGAACGGCGGUCUACGCAGGGAAUUCAGCUUCCUAUCAAGCCUAGCAGCUGUCACCCGCAGGUGCUGGGCUUCGUUGCUGUUUCUGGCAGAGUCCUGCUUCUCGCGCCCGCUGCACUGGGUUUGGCGUCUCUGCUGUUCGCUGAGAUCUGCACACUCCAGGAGCCAUAGGGAGGACGCCAGGACAGCCCCGAAGACGAGAAUGCCUCGCUCCUCCUAGGACGGGAGGAAAAUCCCACAAAUCCUGUCUACUCCAAGCAGCCGCGCCCCUCGGGAGACCACCCCAGUUGGAGGGGCCCACUCCAGCCACCGCUACACCGGGACGCGCUCCUCCUCCCCCUGUGCCCGCCCCUUCUCGUGAGGGACCACCAGGAGGCCCCUCGAUUCCCCAGCAAAACACAGGUUUUGGAGCCAGAGUUUCUGAGUUUGAAUGUUUGGUCUGCUACUGACCAACUCUAUGGGCUUGGGCCUGCAAAGAAAACAUCAAAGAAGAAGGUCAAAAACCAAUUACAUUCUAGGAGUGACCUUGAUGACUUAACUCUGUAAUCUGCAGCAACCUCAGAGGAUCAUGGGAUGCAUUAUGCACGUCAUGGAAUGGAUUGUAAUGUGUAACAUCUAUGAAAUCAAAGGAUGAAGAAGAUCGUGCCCAGAGCUCUCCUUGGGGGUGGAUGACAGAAUGAACAUUUACUCUGGGCUCACUGGAAAAGCUCCAACGUCUUGGAAAUUGAGUGGGUAAGCACAACCUUGAGCACAUUGUCAGCAUUCCAUUUCUUUUUUGAAUAAGAAUAUGCAGUUUUACCAAUAUCAUUGGUUCAAGAGGCUUUCCUUUCCCAGUUGUGUAUUCUUGGCACCUUUGUUGAAGAUCACUUGACUGUGUAUGUGUGCAUUUAGUUCUGGGCUCUCUUUUCUCUCCCAGGGGUUCUAAUGGGUGCCCUUAUGCUAGGACCAUGCUGUCUAAAUUUCUGUGGCUUUGUUGUAAAUUUGAAUCUUAUGAAUGUCUGUCCUCCAACACUAUUCUUUUUCAUGUUAUCAUGGCUAUUUGAGGCCAUGGGAAAAUUCAUAAAAAUAAUUUUAGGAUUAGCUUUUCCAUUUCUGCACACAUGGCCAUUACCAGUUCGAUAAUAGUUGUUUUGAGUCUGUAGAUCAUUUGUGUAAUAUUGUGUAUUAGUAAGAUUUAGACUUCCUAUCCAUGAAUACAGGAUGCCUUUUCACUUAUUUUUACCUUCUUUGCUUUCUUUCAGUAGUCUUUCUUUCUAAUCACUCUACAAGUAUUUCACCUCCUUGGUUAGGUUUAUUCCUAAGUAUUUAGUUAUUUUAGAUGUUAUUAUAAGUGGGAUUACAUUUGUCAUCUUCUUGUUGGAUCAUUCACUGUUGGUUUGUAUUAACAAACCAAUCAUUUGAAUAUUGGCCUUGUACCCUGCAACUUUGAUGUAAUUAUUAACACUAAUAGCAUUCUUGGAGAUUAUUUCUGAUUUUCUAUAUGUAGAAUGAUAGAGAAGUUCUGUUUCACACCUAUUUUCUCAAGAUAGUCUAUAUUGAUACUGUAAAGAUAUGUUCAUAUUCACCUACUGAAUGAUGUCCUUCCAAAAGGCCUUGUUAGAUUAUUCAAAAAAUAUUUUGUCAUUACAUUCCACAAUUUAAUAAAAAAUAGUAAUUCAUUGUCCAUAAUGUUGUCUUUUUCUCCAUUUAGUAAAAUGCAGUAUUUCUCAUUACAUUCUGCACACCUAACUUUCCUGUUAGAUAUUAUCUGGAAGAAUACAGAAUCUAUUUUCCUUCUGUUUUAAGAUCAUCAAUGACCCUUUAAAUUCUCGAUUUCAUUAAUCUGAAGUGAAUCUGAAAUGCAGAAAUGUGAAGGAAGGCAUUUCACACAGAAAAGAAUUCUAACAUUUCUUGUAACAAAUUGGUGCAAAAGUAAUUGUGGUUUUUUGCCUUUACUUUUAAUAACACAGCUUCCUUCUCUUCUUCAGCCUGAAAUGUGUAUUUAGUUUACCAUAUUGGAGAGCAUGUUGCUUCUUCUCAUAUCACAAGUUUUUCCAAAUAUAUCAUAACUUCUGUGUCUAAGUCAGUUUAUCUACCAAAACAUAUAAAUUUUAAAUAUAUUUUUGUGGAUUUUACAAAAUUUUCUCUUUACAGAGCUAUUAAUUAUAUACUUUCACCCAACCUAUGAUCUCCAGGUAUAAGGAAUGCACAAAUUAGUUUUCCUGUGACAGCAUGCAGAGCACUUUUCCAAGGUGAGGCUAUGGGCAUCUCCACAACUGGGAAACAGGCUCAGUUUGAGCCACUUCUAUUUAGGAGGAGUAAAUCAUACAGGAUGAUAUUAUGUCAUAUUUUUAGAACACCAAGAUGUUAUAGAAGACAAUUCAUCUCCCCAGGUAAACUGGUGUUCAUCUUAUUUGACCAGGUAUUUGUUGAUCUUUGGUCAGGUAACUCAUUCAUUUUGUAGAAAAUAUAAUUUUUAAAAAAUUGUAAGUAGUCACUGUGUAGAAUCAGGAUGUCACCAAAAGCAUUUUUGAUACCUGUGUCUGAUUCCUUCAACAUCAGGUUGGGGUUAAGUUAAAGUGGUUAUUUUGGUACAAAGCAGCUAUGUGUCAUGGCAUUAGCCCUGACUUGGAAGCUUAUCUCCUGGGUUUGAGUGCCCCUCUGGAACUUGCUAAGCUGCGAGAUACCAAGCAAGUUGAUACAUCUCUACUUUCUUCAAGAUAUACAAUACACAUUUUAUUUAAUUAACCCAUUCAACCCUCACGGCAGCCCUCACCUGAGUUGUGGUUGUUCACUAUCUGUACUCCUCAGAUGAAGAAACUAAGGUGCUAAAUGCAUAUGCCCAAGCAUACAAGCCCCUAAGGAAAGGAGGUAACAUAUGCCUAGGCAUGUGGCCCUGGUGUUAAUACAAUCAAUUAUUGAACUGCAGUUAUCACCCCAAAAAGGGUGGCUCACAACCCUGCCAUCAGUUGUAACCAUAAGGUGAUUCCCUUACCCAUGCCAGUCCUAGGUUUACAUGGGUCUACAGAAAUCCCAAACAUCGUCUACAAGGUGGCUACAGUAGUCACAGAGCUUAGGGAAAACAUCAGCAUUUGAAACUGCAAGAUUUAACAUAGCCAUUGGUGAUAAAAGGACAUAGAAGGCCCGUAUACCUCUGAUACUAGGGACAAAUACAAGUUUCUGAAUAUUAGGAAGCAGCACUUAGAAAUAUUCAUAAACACUUUGGGAUGCCCAGGCGGGUGGCUCACGAGGUCAAGAGAUUGAGACCAUCCUGGCCAACAUGGUGAAAUCCUAUCUCUACUAAAAAUACAAAAAUUAGCUGGGUCUGGUGGCAUGUGCCUGUAGUCCCAGCUACUCCAGAGGCUGAGACAGGAGAAUCACUUGAACCCAGGAGGCGGAGGCUGCAGUGAGCCAAGAUCGCACCACUGCACUCCAGCCCGGUGACAGAGCAAGACUCUGUCUCAAAAGAAAAAAAAAUAGCAGUUUAAAAAUAAUGUUAUAGUUGAUAGAAUUUGUGAGGAGGGAUGUGUAAGGGACAUGUAAGGAUUUCAAUUGUUUUGGGACUUUGUGACUAUUUACAUAGAUACAUCACACAAGGAGCUUUAGAACACACUUUACAAGUUAUAAACAUAACCAAUAGACAAAUGGAAAAUAAUGAUGAUGGAGCUAAUAAGAGUUUUAUGGUAGAGACAAGUGGGAGAAUUUUGUGAUAAAUAGUUGACUUUUUAAAAUUAUGAAUACAGAAAGAUGAAUUUUAAGCAUGUUAUUUAGAAUCUUAGGAAGUACCAGAACAACUAAUAACAGAAACAAAAACUGUGCCUAUAGCCGAGUGGGUGUGGUAGGAGCUCUUUUCUGUAUUAUCUUGCUCUUCUUUAAAUUUUGAAUUCUUUGCACCACACAAUAAAUGAACGUACCUUGUAUUAUUGUAAAUAUUCCCCCAUCACUAACAUAUUUGUGUUUGGUUUCUGUUCAGCCCCGUCACCUGUCCUUAGUUCCUCUGAACUAUACAGAGGAACAAAUCAAUAUAAAUGCAGAAGAGAAAAGAUGAGAUCAGCUGAUUUUGGUGUUGAUAUGGGUAAUAUCUGAUUUACAUUCAGUUUUCAUGUGGGAUCUCUGUGCCUGGCUUGGUUUAAUGAUUCAAAGUGACAAUACAGUCAACUUCUGAGAAAAUGAUCUAUGGAAAAUUGAAAGUUUAAAAUAUUUUCUUCCUCCUAACUUUGAAGAGGACUUGUUUCAUAUCAAAUCUGCCUGUUCAUCUGCCUGUCCGUCCACUCACUGUUUAUCCAUGGAUCUUGGUGUUAGCUUCUGAGGUGGUAAUGAAUUCAAAACCCUUCUGUUCCUACUCUCAUAUUAAAGGUUCAAAAAUCAACCUUGAUUGCAAUGAAGCACUAAGCCCACAACCACAACUCAGGUGAGGGCUGCCUUGAGGGUUGAAUGGGUUAAUUAAAUAAAAUGUGUAUUAUAUAUCUCGAAGAAAGUAGAGGUAUAUCAACUUGCUUGGUAUCUCACAGCUUAGCAAGUUCCAGAGGGGCACUCAAACCCAGGAGAUAAGCUUCCAAGUCAGGGCUAAUGCCAUGACACCCAUGAUUUAUGGGUGGAUUGGUGGCAGGACAAGAUAGAAAGGAACCAGCGGUGGCUCAGGGUUUUGACCUGAGCAACCAGGGAGAGGAGGUGUCGUGUAGACAGAUAGGAAAGACACAAUUCUUUGAACACAUUUGGGACUCAGAUAGUCAAGGCAGCAAGGAUGAAGAUGGUUUGUCUCAUCACCCGUCUUCCAGGUGACUCUGGUGGGCUCCCUCUUUGAAAGGGUGCCUUCUGGGGGCUGACUUUCAGGCUAGCGGUUGGCUUCUUUUGACUGGGGGUCAAGUGGGCCUCCAGACACCCUGAGCUGCAUGGAGAACAGCAAGGGCCUUUUGCUCAUCUGCAGUGUACAGCACUGCCUCUACUUCAUCUUGAUGCUGCUCCUGGUCAGUCUUCUCGGCACGCUGGGGACCUCCUUACUCACAGACCCAAUUCCUGUUAAACAAGUUAAGUGCUGCCAGGUAGGGUGCUCUGGGGUGGACCCUGCAGUUCUAGGGAGUCACUGAAGAAUAGGGAAAUUCCUGCAUUGUCUUUGGAAAGGGGAGGGUUUGGGGGAGCAUUGGGGUGGGCAGAAACAGGCAGGUACAUUUUAAAGGGCUCAGCAGAGUGAAACAAAGCUGAACUCAACCAGAUGUCCUGCAGCGAUUUGCCAGGUAUUCCUUUAGAUCGAGAAGUUUGGCUUUUAAAAUGCAAAUUUUCCUUGGAAGUUUUAAAUCCACCAACCUUAGUAUGAAUUAAUGCAAUCAGGGCACUCCCAGCUGUUACCCACCCAGGGGGAAUGAAGCCAAUGGACAUUCAGCCCCCACUGUAGUGCAGUAGGUGAGAGCAUGGCAGGCUCUGGAGCAGACUGCCAGGAUGCCGAUCCUAGCCUUGCCCUUACUAGUGUGUGUGAUCCCGGAUGAAUAUUUAACUUUUCUGUGGCUCAGUUAAAUGGAUGUAAUAAUAUCUACCUCAAAGAUCAGUUAUGAGGAUUAAAUGAGUUAAUCAAUGUAAAGCACUUAGAACAGUGUUUCGCAUAUGUACGCCUCAUCUUAGUAUUAGCUGCUGUUAUUGUUACUAUUAAUAAACAAUCCUUGAAGAGCAAGAACCGAAUUAUCUGUGCCCCACAAUACCCAGCAUCACUCCAUUACUAUGACAGACCUGCCACAUGUAUUUCUUGGAUGGGUUACUCAAUGGAUCUCUUUGCCACUUCUACAUUUUUCUUCUUCUACUUUGUUUUAUAGCAGAGGAGGGGCAGAAUUUAGGUGGAGUUCAUUGCUCAGCUGGACUGAAAAAGCUGAACUGGAAUAACUUUCAGUGAACAUGGGCAGUGGGUAAACAUUGGGAAUUUGCAGACUUUCAAAUGAGUCCUCUCUCGAGCACACAUCCUCUAAGUUAGUAGCAACACCAUUAACUCUUUGAAGACUAGGAAGGCACAGUCUUAUUGUCUCUGUAUCCUUAGUCCCCAGCACAGGGGUUCGUAGAAGAGGAAUGACUGAAUCUUCAGGUGUCUGUGGGCUGCCAGGAGGACACUUGGCCAAGAACUAUGUCUCAUCUUGCUUUCUGAGACCUCUUCCCCUCUUUUACACUUGUUCCUGUCUUUUGAAUACCAGGAAGCCCAGGUUGCCUUCUGACCUUCAGAGGCCCUCACACCACCUAUUCCGGGGGCUCCAGUACCAUCUUUCCCUGUAAAUGAGGCAGCACAGACUUUGAAUUUAGGCAAACCUGGGUUCAAGUUUCAGCUUCACUGGUAUCUUGCUACACUCAUAACCGUAGACAAUUUUACUUAUUUUUGUUAAGUCUCAGUAUCUUCAUCUGCAAAAUGUGGAUAAUAGUAACUAUCUCAUGGAAUUGUCAUGAGGGAGUUUCUUAAAUGUAGUUAUGUACAGAACUCUUUUAAAGGAACUCCUAAAAUCUCAAUGUUUAUCCAAAUGAGUUUUUCAAUAAUGCUACUUGGAUACAUGCAAAUAUAAUGUUCUAUAAUAUUUAGCUAUAAAUUCAAUGUUUUUAUACAACCUAAACAAAAUUACAAACUAAAUACAAAUAAAACUAUAACAUUAAUAAAAUACAAAUUAACAAUUUUAAUGUAACAGAUAAUGUUUUGCUGAAAUUAAACGUUGCUGAUG
rnacentral:lncRNA from 1 species